rnacentral:lncRNA from 1 species
GGCUAGAGCACGCAAGGAACCACCUCCAUAUUGGAUCAAACAACCAUAGUCCACGGGCGAAGGACAGUAGCGAGAUGAGGUGCUAGUAGGGGUUGGGCCAAAACCCAGGUUCAACCGGACAUAGCCAGCCGCCUCUCGACCACUGCCUUCGUGUGGUGGGCUCUAAUGGGCUCCUAGGCCUAGCCUCGUGUGGUGGUCUUCACUGGUGUACAUCUUGUUGGCGUACUCUUGUUUCUUUGUGUAAAUGAGAUGAAAAGCGUCUUACUGUGAAUAAUUCUCAUGUAUUCGUGUUCCUGACCUGUAAAAUAGAUAUCUCCAAAUACAUGUGGAACUAGGUUAAAAGUAUAUGCAUACGUAGUAUUAGCUUACUAACUUCCCUUAUUUUAUACAUUAAUUGGUGAACGGAUCUCACUGUUAAUGAUGAGCAACAACAAGACAACACACACUUACAUAGCUCGAUUAGAACCUCUCUAUGUGCUCCUCUAGAUAUUCUUCUACUUUUGCCCCUUUGAUUUUUUCUAUUUGUUGGGUUGUCAUUGUUUUUGGGAAAAUUCAACUUUUAAUUUUAUUUUUUUUUUACUUAGGAUCACACAAGAAGUAAGGACAGAAAAAAUGAGCUUAAACAUGUGAAAGACGUGACCUAUAGAAAAAUGAGAAGAUGUACUACAAAUUGACAAAAAGCUGGCGAGAUUAGAAAGUCAAACUUCUAGGCUGAUUUUAGGGAAUAUAAAAUUGGCAAACCCUUCAAAGCAAAGGACAGACGGAUCCGAAAAAAUUCUAAUCGAUUUUGAUAUAUGGAUCAUCUCAAUCGGAGUUUUUAUGCGUAAGUUAUGACUGCUUUGAGAAUGGACUCCGAAUUAAAGGAC